rnacentral:rRNA from 1 species
UACGAAGGGGGCUAGCGUUGCUCGGAAUGACUGGGCGUAAAGGGCGCGUAGGCAGCGAUCAAGGUCAGAUGUGAAAUUCCUGGGCUUAACCUGGGGGGCUGCAUUUGAUACGUGGUGGCUUGAGUGCGGAAGAGGGUCGUGGAAUUCCCAGUGUAGAGGUGAAAUUCGUAGAUAUUGGGAAGAACACCGGUGGCGAAGGCGGCGACCUGGUCCGUGACUGACGCUGAGGCGCGAAAGCGUGGGGAGCAAACAGG